GAUGAACGCUGGCGGCGUGCCUAAUACAUGCAAGUCGAGCGAACAGACGAGGAGCUUGCUCCUCUGACGUUAGCGGCGGACGGGUGAGUAACACGUGGAUAACCUACCUAUAAGACUGGGAUAACUUCGGGAAACCGGAGCUAAUACCGGAUAAUAUAUUAAACCGCAAGGUUCAAUAGUGAAGGACGGCUUUGCUGUCACUUAUAGAUGGAUCCGCGCCGCAUUAGCUAGUUGGUAAGGUAACGGCUUACCAAGGCGACGAUGCGUAGCCGACCUGAGAGGGUGAUCGGCCACACUGGAACUGAGACACGGUCCAGACUCCUACGGGAGGCAGCAGUAGGGAAUCUUCCGCAAUGGGCGAAAGCCUGACGGAGCAACGCCGCGUGAGUGAUGAAGGUCUUCGGAUCGUAAAACUCUGUUAUUAGGGAAGAACAAAUGUGUAAGUAACUAUGCACGUCUUGACGGUACCUAAUCAGAAAGCCACGGCUAACUACGUG
rnacentral:rRNA from 1 species